UACGUAGGGUGCAGGCGUUAAUCGGAAUUACUGGGCGUAAAGCGUGCGCAGGCGGUGAUGUAAGACAGAUGUGAAAUCCCCGGGCUCAACCUGGGAACUGCAUUUGUGACUGCAUCGCUGGAGUGCGGCAGAGGGGGAUGGAAUUCCGCGUGUAGCAGUGAAAUGCGUAGAGAUGUGGAGGAACACCGAUGGCGAAGGCAGCCCCCUGGGCUAACACUGACGCUCAUGCACGAAAGCGUGGGGAGCAAACAGG
rnacentral:rRNA from 1 species